UACGUAGGGUGCAAGCGUUAAUCGGAAUUACUGGGCGUAAAGCGUGUGCAGGCGGUGAUGUAAGACAGAUGUGAAAUCCCCGGGCUCAACCUGGGAACUGCAUUUGUGACUGCAUCGCUGGAGUGCGGCAGAGGGGGAUGGAAUUCCGCGUGUAGCAGUGAAAUGCGUAGAUAUGCGGAGGAACACCGAUGGCGAAGGCAAUCCCCCUGGGCCUGCACUGACCGCUCAUGCACGAAAGCGUGGGGAGCAAACAGG
rnacentral:rRNA from 1 species